GUCGAGCGGGGAGAUGUAGCUUGCUACAUUNCCUAGCGGCGGACGGGUGAGUAAUGCUUAGGAAUCUGCCUAUUAGUGGGGGACAACAUUCCGAAAGGAAUGCUAAUACCGCAUACGCCCUACGGGGGAAAGCAGGGGAUCUUCGGACCUUGCGCUAAUAGAUGAGCCUAAGUCAGAUUAGCUAGUUGGUGGGGUAAAGGCCUACCAAGGCGACGAUCUGUAGCGGGUCUGAGAGGAUGAUCCGCCACACUGGGACUGAGACACGGCCCAGACUCCUACGGGAGGCAGCAGUGGGGAAUAUUGGACAAUGGGCGCAAGCCUGAUCCAGCCAUGCCGCGUGUGUGAAGAAGGCCUUUUGGUUGUAAAGCACUUUAAGCGAGGAGGAGGCUACUUGGAUUAAUACUCUNGGAUAGUGGACGUUACUCGCAGAAUAAGCACCGGCUAACUCUGUGCCAGCAGCCGCGGUAAUACAGAGGGUGCGAGCGUUAAUCGGAUUUACUGGGCGUAAAGCGUGCGUAGGCGGCUUUUUAAGUCGGAUGUGAAAUCCCUGAGCUUAACUUAGGAAUUGCAUUCGAUACUGGGAAGCUAGAGUAUGGGAGAGGAUGGUAGAAUUCCAGGUGUAGCGGUGAAAUGCGUAGAGAUCUGGAGGAAUACCGAUGGCGAAGGCAGCCAUCUGGCCUAAUACUGACGCUGAGGUACGAAAGCAUGGGGAGCAAACAGGAUUAGAUACCCUGGUAGUCCAUGCCGUAAACGAUGUCUACUAGCCGUUGGGGCCUUUGAGGCUUUAGUGGCGCAGCUAACGCGAUAAGUAGACCGCCUGGGGAGUACGGUCGCAAGACUAAAACUCAAAUGAAUUGACGGGGGCCCGCACAAGCGGUGGAGCAUGUGGUUUAAUUCGAUGCAACGCGAAGAACCUUACCUGGUCUUGACAUAGUAAGAACUUUCCAGAGAUGGAUUGGUGCCUUCGGGAACUUACAUACAGGUGCUGCAUGGCUGUCGUCAGCUCGUGUCGUGAGAUUUGGGUUAAGUCCCGCAACGAGCGCAACCCUUUUCCUUAUUUGCCAGCGGGUUAAGCCGGGAACUUUAAGGAUACUGCCAGUGACAAACUGGAGGAAGGCGGGGACGACGUCAAGUCAUCAUGGCCCUUACGACCAGGGCUACACACGUGCUACAAUGGUCGGUACAAAGGGUUGCUACCUAGCGAUAGGAUGCUAAUCUCAAAAAGCCGAUCGUAGUCCGGAUUGGAGUCUGCAACUCGACUCCAUGAAGUCGGAAUCGCUAGUAAUCGCGAUC
rnacentral:rRNA from 1 species